rnacentral:rRNA from 1 species
GAUGAGCGCUAGCGGCAGGCCUAACACAUGCAAGUCGAGGGGUAGCAGGAUUAAGCUUGCUUAAUUGCUGACGACCGGCGCACGGGUGCGUAAUGCGUAUGCAACCUACCUUAUACUGGGGUAUAGCCCGGAGAAAUUCGGAUUAAUCCCCCAUAGUACUAAUGAAUCGCAUGGUUUAUUAGUUAAAGCAUUGCGGUAUAAGAUGGGCAUGCGUCCUAUUAGCUAGAUGGUGAGGUAACGGCUCACCAUGGCUACGAUAGGUAGGGGGCCUGAGAGCGUGGUCCCCCACACUGGUACUGAGACACGGACCAGACUCCUACGGGAGGCAACAGUGAGGAAUAUUGGUCAAUGGGCGCAAGCCUGAACCAGCCAUGCCGCGUGCAGGAAGAAUGCCCUAUGGGUUGUAAACUGCUUUUAUUUGGGAAUAAACCUCUUUACGUGUAGAGAGCUGAAGGUACCAAAUGAAUAAGCACCGGCUAACUCCGUGCCAGCCGCCGCAGUAA